AGGUAUUUAGUCCAAAAAAAGACCUUUGAUUUCGGCUCAAAAAACUGUGGUUUAAAUCCACAAUUACCUU
rnacentral:tRNA from 1 species